rnacentral:rRNA from 1 species
CCCUUAGAUGUUCUGGGCUGCACGCGCGCUACACUGAUGCACUCAACGAGUUUACGACCUUGCCCGAUAGGGUUGGGUAAUCUUUUUAAAAUGCAUCGUGAUGGGGAUAGAUUAUUGCAAUUAUUAAUCUUCAACGAGGAAUUCCUAGUAAGCGCGAGUCAUCAGCUCGUGCUGAUUACGUCCCUGCCCUUUGUACACACCGCCCGUCGCUCCUACCGAUUGAGUGCUCAGGUGAAUAAUUCGGACUGCAGCAAUGUUUGGAUCCCGAACGUUGCAGCGGAAAGUUUAGUGAACCUUAUCACUUAGAGGAAGGAGAAGUCGUAACAA